CCUACGGGAGGCAGCAGUGAGGAAUAUUGGUCAAUGGCCGCAGGGCUGAACCAGCCAAGUCGCGUGAGGGAUGACGGUCCUAUGGAUUGUAAACCUCUUUUGUCAGGGAGCAAAGGGCGCCACGUGUGGCGCUUUGCGAGUACCUGAAGAAAAAGCAUCGGCUAACUCCGUGCCAGCAGCCGCGGUAAUACGGAGGAUGCGAGCGUUAUCCGGAUUUAUUGGGUUUAAAGGGUGCGCAGGCGGAAUGUCAAGUCAUCGGUAAAAUUUCGGGGCUCAACCCCGUCGUGCCGUUGAAACUGGCGUUCUUGAGUGAGCGAGAAGUAUGCGGAAUGCGUGGUGUAGCGGUGAAAUGCAUAGAUAUCACGCAGAACUCCGAUUGCGAAGGCAGCAUACCGGCGCUCAACUGACGCUCAUGCACGAAAGCGUGGGUAUCGAACAGGAUUAGAUACCCCAGUAGUC
rnacentral:rRNA from 1 species